UACGUAGGUGACAAGCGUUGUCCGGAUUUACUGGGCGUAAAGAGCGCGCAGGCGGUCGUUCAAGUCGAGUGUGAAAGCCCCCGGCUCAACUGGGGAGGGUCACUCGAUACUGAUCGACUCGAAGGCAGGAGAGGGAAGUGGAAUUCCCGGUGUAGUGGUGAAAUGCGUAGAUAUCAGGAAGAACACCAACGGCGAAGGCAGCUCGCUGGGACGGAACUGACGCUGAGGCGCGAAAGCGUGGGGAGCGAACAGG
rnacentral:rRNA from 1 species